AAGCAGUUUCCAUGGCUAAUGUUGUAUCAUGAAAUUUCUUAGGAUCAGUCCUUCCCAAAUCAUGAAAGUGAUUUUCAGAUUGGAAUGAGACCCUCGCCGUACAUCUGUAUUCUGUGUGCUUUCUGUAACUCAGGUAUUGUGGCAUCGUGGACUCUAAUCUGUGACUGUCACCAUGUGGGACCUUUGCAGACAGUGAACAGCUUCCUGCACCCUGCAGCCAGUUGUACACGGGGACUGCUUGCUAAGCUAAUGCACAACUGGGGAAGAGGACACAAGAUAAUGCAGCAAACACCUGGCCAGAACAGGAGAGAAAUGCUUGGUGCAGCUGAUGGGAUGACAGGAUGCCGCCCCAGGACAAUUAUCACAAACUCAGUGGCUCGAAACAACACACAUUUGUCACCUGACGGCCCCAGAGGUCAGGAGCCCCAGAUGGGCUUCCCACCAGUGCUGCAAUAUUGAUAAGGAGUUAGCAGGGCAGGGAGAUUGAGGCCAGUUCAAGCAAGAGCUUCAAAAGCAACAGCAGCAUUUUUAGCUUGCCAAGCGUUUAGCUGGCAGUGGUAAGCCAGAAUAGAGAGACCUGGGGAGCCCUUUCAGGAGUCUUGGGCUACUGGGGAGAUAAGGUGGGGUCUUAACCUGGCUGUAGGAAAUGGACACAGGAUGUUGUAUACACGUAGGGUGGCUGCUCACCUGGUUUAACAAGCAGCCAAACAAGCAGACAGAAGACAAAAGCUUGAGUUCUUUAUUUGGAGCUUCUUGUGGUCUGGAGGGCUCUGGGAAUUCACAGGCCAGGAGGAGAAAUUUGGUUCCUGACCUUGCAAGGUCUCUUUCUUGUAAAUAUCACUUUGUUCCACAGUAAGUGUGUAUCAUUAAUGUGAUCACGAAAAGCUAUCAACAGUGGGGCAUAUAUUUAAGUUGCAUAUUUUGCUGCUGUCUGGGGGCAGCUUGGCACGGUCGGAGGUGGCCUUGUGUAUUACCGUGUCCAACAUCUCAGGAAGGCAGGCUGAGGCUGCGAGGUCCCGGGGGCCAGCUUCAUGGUGCCCCCAUCAGCUGCUGCGGCUUGAGCUUGUCAUCCUUCCUCUUGUCCUUUUUCUCGAUUAAAAGUCAUAUCGGCGCAUUCCCAAAGCAUUUUAGGAAAAGCAAAUUCCCCUGCACCCUUUGUGGAAACACUGGACCAACAGGGUUCUUUCUGUCUGCAGAGGGCUCAGUGAGUGGAAGUCUCCCCUUUGUGAGCUGGUUUAUCCCAUUCAUAGUCACUGGUACAGAAUUUUAAUUUCUUUAGAAUAAAAGUUUAAGAUAUAUAAGAUUAGGAAAUUUAAGAAAUAUGAAACAUUUUAUGAAUAAAUCAGAAACAUUAGUUGUACUGUACAUAUAACAACUCCCUGUGAUAAAUGGAUGAGAGUAAAUACUGAAAACAUGUGCUAAUAAAAAUUUUUAACAAUUGAAAAAAUAAUUCUACCACUAGAUAGAGUUCACUGUUAUCAUUCUGCCAUGUUUUCCAAUCACCGCUCACUUGAUUCUCUAUAGGUAAUUAAAAUUAAAUAUGUGAUGUUAUUGGUCAUACUGCCUCUGUAACUUUUUUUAACCUGAAAAUAUAAAUUGAACAUACACCCUUUCUGAAAAAUAGUUUGAGGGCUGGGGAUUUAGCUCAGUAGUUCCAGUGCCUGUUUCACAGGUGCAAGGUCUCAAGUUCGAUCCCUAGUACCAAAAAACAAACAAAACAAAACAAAAACUAGUUUGAGAACCUAGCUAUUUAUUGCUGUAUUCAUUAUCCAUAUUAUUAAUAUAUUACAGUUUAUUCAGAUUUUUUUCUUAGCAUUGGAUAUUAAUUUUUUCUUGAUCUUAUGAAUAACAAUGGGGAGGACAUUUUAAAAAUAAAUGAUAUGUUUGUUAUUUCUUCGUGGUUAUUACAAGUAAAAUUAUUAGAUCACAGGGUUUGGGGACAAGUUUUAAGCAGAUGAUAAAUACUUUCAGAUCACCCUCCAAAAGCUUUUUCCUUCCAACAAUUAAAAAUUAAGACAUGAUAAUGAAGAAAAGGAACAAAUCCAGACCUCUAACAGUAUAACCCA
ensembl:lincRNA